AUUUAAAUAGUUUAAUAAAAAUAUUGAUUUGUGGUAUCAAUGAUAAGAAAUUUCUUUUUAGAUC
rnacentral:tRNA from 1 species